rnacentral:misc_RNA from 1 species
GAUGAAGAACGCAGCGAAAUGCGAUACGUAGUGUGAAUUGCAGAAUUCAGUGAAUCAUCGAAUCUUUGAACGCACAUUGCACCUCUCGGUAUUCCGGGAGGUAUGUCUGUUCGAGCGUCAUUUGUACCCUCAAGCUCUGCUUGGUGUUGGGUGUUUGUUCCGCCUCUGUGUGUGAACUCGCCUCAAAACAAUUGGCAGCCGGCGUACUUGUUUCGGAGCGCAGCACAUUUUGCGAUCCAGAUCAACGUACAGCGGCAUCCAAGAAGCCUUAUUUAACGCUCUUGACCUCGGAUCAGGUAGGGAUACCCGCUGAACUUAAGCAUAUCAUAAGCGGAGGA